CAGUAGCCGCGGUAAUACAGAGGGUGCGAGCGUUAAUCGGAUUUACUGGGCGUAAAGCGUGCGUAGGCGGCUUUUUAAGUCGGAUGUGAAAUCCCUGAGCUUAACUUAGGAAUUGCAUUCGAUACUGGGAAGCUAGAGUAUGGGAGAGGAUGGUAGAAUUCCAGGUGUAGCGGUGAAAUGCGUAGAGAUCUGGAGGAAUACCGAUGGCGAAGGCAGCCAUCUGGCCUAAUACUGACGCUGAGGUACGAAAGCAUGGGGAGCAAACAGGAUUAGAUACCCGUGUAGUCCCUGUCUCUAUACA
rnacentral:rRNA from 1 species